rnacentral:rRNA from 1 species
UACGUAGGCAGCAAGCGUUGUUCGGAUUUACUGGGCGUAAAGGGCGCGUAGGCGGCCUGCUAAGUCGAACGUGAAAUCCCUGGGCUCAACCCAGGAACUGCGUCCGAUACUGGUUGGCUUGAAUCCGGGAGAGGGACGUGGAAUUCCAGGUGUAGCGGUGAAAUGCGUAGAUAUCUGGAGGAACACCGGUGGCGAAGGCGACGUCCUGGACCGGCACUGACGCUGAGGGCGCGAAAAGCCAGGGGAGCAAACGGGG